rnacentral:rRNA from 1 species
AAUUGUCUUUUAAUUGAGGGCUGGCAUGAAUGGUUGAACAAAAGACAAGCUGUCUUUUUUAUAAGAGUGUGAAUUUUACUUUUAAGUGAAAAGGCUUAAAUAAUUUAAAGGGACGAUAAGACCCUUUAAAACUUAACGAGAUUAUUAUGACUUAUAAAAUAAGGUAUUAAAGGUGUUAUUUUUAUAUUUUGUUUCAUUGGGGCGAUGGAGAUAGAAUAAAUAACUGUUAAAGAUAUAAGAUAGUUAUAAUUAGAAAUAAAGAUCCUUGGAUUUAAAGAUUAAAAGAAAAAGUUACUUAAGGGAUAACAGCGUUAUUUUUUCAGAGAGUUCUUAUCGAAGAAAGUAGUUGCGACCUCGAUGUUGAAUUAAGGUUAAAUUAAGAUGCAGUAUUUUUAAUGAUAAGUCUGUUCGACUUUUAAAACCUU